rnacentral:rRNA from 1 species
CCUACGGGUGGCAGCAGUGAGGAAUAUUGGUCAAUGGACGAGAGUCUGAACCAGCCAAGUAGCGUGAAGGAUGACUGCCCUAUGGGUUGUAAACUUCUUUUAUAUGGGAAUAAAACGUUCCACGUGUGGGAUUUUGUAUGUACCAUAUGAAUAAGGAUCGGCUAACUCCGUGCCAGCAGCCGCGGUAAUACGGAGGAUCCGAGCGUUAUCCGGAUUUAUUGGGUUUAAAGUGAGCGUAGGUGGAUUGUUAAGUCAGUUGUGAAAGUUUGCGGCUCAACCGUAAAAUUGCAGUUGAAACUGGCAGUCUUGAGUACAGUAGAGGUGGGCGGAAUUCGUGGUGUAGCGGUGAAAUGCUUAGAUAUCACGAAGAACUCCGAUUGCGAAGGCAGUUCACUGGACUGCAACUGACACUGAGGCUCGAAAGUGUGGGUAUCAAACAGGAUUAGAUACCCUAGUAGUC